AGUGAACGCUGGCGGUAUGCUUAACACAUGCAAGUCGAACGGCAGCACCGUAAGAGCUUGCUCUUACGGGUGGCGACUGGCGGGUGGGUGGGGAAUACAUCGGAAUUUACUUUUUGGUGGGGGAUAACGUAGGGAAACAUUAGCUAAUACCGCAUACGACCUACGGGUGAAAGCAGGGGAGCUUCGGACCUUGGGCGAGUGAUUGAGGCGAGUUCGGAUUAGCUAGUUGGCGGGGUAAAGGCCCACCAGGGCGGCAAUCCGUAGCUGGUGCGAGAGGAGGAAGAGGCACAGUGGAACUGAGAGACGGUACAGAGUCCGAGGGGAGGCAGCGGUGGGGAAUGGUGGAAAAAGGGCGCAAGACUGAACCAGGGAUAGCGGGUGGGUGAAGAAGGGCUUUGGGUUGUAAAGCCCUUUUGUUGUGGAAGAAAAGCAGCAGGUUAAUACCCCGCUGUUCUGACGGUACUCAAAGAAUAAGCACCGGCUAACUUCGUG
rnacentral:rRNA from 1 species